AUGGACGGGAAAGGAAUGGAGGGUUAUGGUCUGAGUGCAGGUAGACGGGACUAGGCGGGAGUAAGUGUUCGGCACGGACUAGAAGGGCCGAGAUGGCCUGUUUCCGUGCCGUAAUUGUUAUAUGCUUAUAUGAGGAAAAACAUUUUUCACACAGAGAGUGGUGAAUCUCUGGAA